rnacentral:rRNA from 1 species
GGUUUCUGGUAAUUGUUUAAGAAAUCUAACCUGCCCACUGAAAAGAUUUUAAAGGGCCGCAGUAUUUUGACUGUGCAAAGGUAGCAUAAUAAUUAGUCUUUUAAUUGAAGGCUGGUAUGAAUGGUUGGAUGAGGUGAAUUCUGUUUUAUGUUAAUUUUUAUUGAAUUUAGAUUUUAAGUAAAAAGACUUAAAUUUUGUUAAGGGACGAGAAGACCCUAUAGAGUUUAAUAAAUGUAGUAAUUAAUUGAGUUAAAUUUUAAUUUUUGAUUAUUAUGAAAGUUAUUUAAUUGGGGUGAUUAGGAGAUAAGAUUAACUCUUCUUUAUAUUUAAUAUAAUAAUUAGUUAUAUGAUCCAUAUUUAAUGAUUAAAAGAUUAAAUUACCUUAGGGAUAACAGCAUAAUUCUUUUUGAGAGUUCAUAUCGAAAGAAGAGAUUGUGACCUCGAUG